rfam:Ictidomys tridecemlineatus contig050820, whole genome shotgun sequence.
GGGGUUGUGGCUCAGCGGUAGAGCUCUGGUCUAGCACGUGGGAGGCCCUGGGCUCAAUCCUCAGCACCACCU